CACGUAGGGUGCGAGCGUUGUCCGGAAUUAUUGGGCGUAAAGAGCUCGUAGGCGGUGUGUCGCGUCGGCCGUGAAAACCUACAGCUUAACUGUGGGCUUGCGGUCGAUACGGGCAUCACUGGAGUUCGGCAGGGGAGACUGGAAUUCCUGGUGUAGCGGUGAAAUGCGCAGAUAUCAGGAGGAACACCGGUGGCGAAGGCGGGUCUCUGGGCCGAUACUGACGCUGAGGUGCGAAAGCGUGGGGAGCAAACAGG
rnacentral:rRNA from 1 species